GUAGGUGGCAAGCGUUGUCCGGAAUUAUUGGGCGUAAAGCGCGCGCAGGCGGUUCUUUAAGUCUGAUGUGAAAGCCCACGGCUCAACCGUGGAGGGUCAUUGGAAACUGGAGAACUUGAGUACAGAAGAGGAAAGCGGAAUUCCACGUGUAGCGGUGAAAUGCGUAGAGAUGUGGAGGAACACCAGUGGCGAAGGCGGCUUUCUGGUCUGUAACUGACGCUGAGGCGCGAAAGCGGGGGGAGCAAACAGGGAUUAGAUACCCUGGUAGUCCACGCCGUAAACGAUGAGUGCUAAGUGUUAGGGGGUUUCCGCCCCCUUAGUGCUGCAGCUAACGCAUUAAGCACUCCGCCUGGGGAGUACGGCCGCAAGGCUG
rnacentral:rRNA from 1 species